rnacentral:rRNA from 1 species
UACGUAGGGGGCUAGCGUUGUCCGGAAUCAUUGGGCGUAAAGCGCGUGUAGGCGGUCCGGUAAGUCCGCUGUGAAAGUCGGGGGCUCAACCCUCGGAUGCCGGUGGAUACUGUCGGGCUUGAGUACGGAAGAGGCGAGUGGAAUUCCUGGUGUAGCGGUGAAAUACGUAGAUAUCAGGAGGAACAUCGGUGGCGAAGGCGGCUCUCUGGACCAGUACUGACACUGAGGAGCGAAAGCAUGGGGAUCAAACAGG